GCCUGCGCAGUCUGAGACGUCCCUCGCGUCGGGUGGAAGAGCGGCUGCGCAACAAGUGAACCUAUGGAUUAAGGUGUAGCCGGGCGGCCCGGAGGUUGAGAGUGCAAAGUUAUUCUGCGCCGGCGCGGCCCGGGUAACUUUGCUGGCUGCUCCUAGGCUCCCGGCUCGCCGCCAUCUUGUAUUGGGGUUUCAUUGUUCCCGCUGGGCCGGGCGGUUUAGUGUAAUUGCCGCCGGAGGAGGAGGCGGAGUAACCUCUGGUCAGCCGAGAAACCCCACUAUCCCGUAGCCAUAACCGCUUAAACGAUUUGGGAGGUAGUGAAGGGCAGGGAGCUGGACCUGGAGGCGCCGCCGCGACAGCAGCAGCCAUGGAGGACGAGAUGCCCAAGACUCUAUACGUCGGUAACCUUUCCAGAGAUGUGACAGAAGCUCUAAUUCUGCAACUCUUUAGCCAGAUUGGACCUUGUAAAAACUGCAAAAUGAUUAUGGAUACAGCUGGAAAUGAUCCCUAUUGUUUUGUGGAGUUUCAUGAGCAUCGUCAUGCAGCUGCAGCAUUAGCUGCUAUGAAUGGACGGAAGAUAAUGGGUAAGGAAGUCAAAGUGAAUUGGGCAACAACCCCUAGCAGUCAAAAGAAAGAUACAAGCAGUAGUACCGUUGUCAGCACACAGCGUUCACAAGUCUUAGUUCACUUGCACAUGGAUUCACAUAAACUGAAUGGUGUAAUGUCUGGGCAACCAAAACUGUUGGCUUUUGAGAAAACUGUCAAAUACUUUAACAUCAAACUGUUGCAAUGCAAGAUCAUUUCCAUGUCUUUGUUGGUGAUCUCAGCCCAGAAAUUACAACUGAAGAUAUAAAAGCUGCUUUUGCACCAUUUGGAAGAAUAUCAGUGUCUCUGAAGAAUGGACAGAAUUGCCCUGGCUAACUACAAGCUACGGUUCACAGUGGAUAAAUAGAUGCCCGAGUGGUAAAAGACAUGGCAACAGGAAAGUCUAAGGGAUAUGGCUUUGUCUCCUUUUUCAACAAAUGGGAUGCUGAAAACGCCAUUCAACAGAUGGGUGGCCAGUGGCUUGGUGGAAGACAAAUCAGAACUAACUGGGCAACCCGAAAGCCUCCCGCUCCAAAGAGUACAUAUGAGUGUAGGUGUAUUGGAGAAGAAAAGGAAAUGUGGAAUUUUGGAGAAAAAUACGCUAGAUUUUAAAUGUUAGAGCUGUUCCCGGAGACUUAUUGCAGAAAUAGAUGAGAAGCAAAUCAAGACUACUAUUCAAAAAUCAAAUACCAAACAGCUGUCAUAUGAUGAGGUUGUCAAUCAGUCUAGUCCAAGCAACUGUACUGUAUACUGUGGAGGUGUUACUUCUGGGCUAACAGAACAACUAAUGCGUCAGACUUUUUCACCAUUUGGACAAAUAAUGGAAAUUCGAGUCUUUCCAGAUAAAGGAUAUUCAUUUGUUCGGUUCAAUUCCCAUGAAAGUGCAGCACAUGCAAUUGUUUCUGUUAAUGGUACUACCAUUGAAGGUCAUGUUGUGAAAUGCUAUUGGGGCAAAGAAACUCUUGAUAUGAUAAAUCCCGUGCAACAGCAGAAUCAAAUUGGAUAUCCCCAACCUUAUGGCCAGUGGGGCCAGUGGUAUGGAAAUGCACAACAAAUUGGCCAGUAUAUGCCUAAUGGUUGGCAAGUUCCUGCAUAUGGAAUGUAUGGCCAGGCAUGGAACCAGCAAGGAUUUAAUCAGACACAGUCUUCUGCACCAUGGAUGGGACCAAAUUAUGGAGUGCAACCGCCUCAAGGGCAAAAUGGCAGCAUGUUGCCCAAUCAGCCUUCUGGGUAUCGAGUGGCAGGGUAUGAAACCCAGUGAAAAAGGACUCCAGAAUCUAAAGCCAGUGGCUUGAGGCUACAGGGAGUGUAGUAAAGCCGUUGUUUACUUAAAGAUUUAUCAAAUCAGUCAGUGCAAAUGUCAGAUACAAUGUAUUUAUUUAAAAGAUUCAUUUUUAAUCAUGAAAUUACUUAUCAUCCACAUUGUUUUAAAAAGAAACAAGAUGCUGGAUGUCUGCCAAUUUUUGCCUUCAUUACCUUUUUUGAUAAAGUUUCUCAGAUCCUUGUUUCAAACACAAAUGCAGGGAUUGCUGCCACUUUUUAACUAUUAAGAGGCAGAAAAUUGCACAAUGUUGAACUUUUUUCCACUGAAGUAGUGUGCAGUUCUAGUUUGCAUUCCUGAUAUGAUUUAAAACAUGUAAUAUAAAGAUGUUAAAAAAAAAACCAAAACUGUGCAGAGUCUAGAAGUUCUUUGUCAUCUUCAGCUUGUGCACAAUUCUGUUUUAGGUUUAAAAAAGGCAUUGUUUGAGCUGUCCCAUCUCCACUGUUUUCCCUUUGGGGUUUUUUAAUAUAAAUUAUUAGUUUACAUCAUUUUUGUAUCUACAUCUUUUUUCACAAAUUUGUCUUGCCUUAUUAAAGUUCUGUAAAAUAUACUUAAAUGGAAAAAAUGAUGUUCAUUUAGAUUGAAAACUUUUCUCAGAUGGAUUGAUAAUUGCAUUCAUCUUGUGUUUUAUAUGAGAAGGUGCCUCAAGAAUUUCCUGUUGGAUUUGUUUAAAAGGAUUUUUAUCUUUCGUGAUAAACUUUGCUGUGUACCAGGAACUAUAAAAACAAAAACUUGUUACUAAAGAAAAUAUCUGAAAUGUGAUAAGUUCUUAUGCCAUGUUAAUUUCAUGUGUCAACUUCAACAUUUACAUGUAUUAUUUCAUUAUGUAAAAUGUUUUAGCAAUUUAAUAUUUUGCACAGUUAGCAAACUUUGUAUGUUAUUUCCUUCAAGGCAUCAUGCAGAGUUGACAUGAGAUUUAUAAGGUUUUAAGUUGUUUGCAUGUGAAAAUCAAAUACAUACUUUGGUAGUCUUUGAGUACAAAGUCAUCUGCUCUUGUUUUUCAAGAAUUUUGAGACACAAAGUUGUAUGUAAAGGAAUAUAUUAAUUUGCCGUUUUCUAGGUAGAUUUGCUCAAAAAGAGUGAAUCAACUUAAUAUGUACAAAUGAUAGCUGUGAAACUGUAGAAUAUCUUUGUGUCAGGCUUGGAGUUCAUUGUGACCUCCAAAUUUUGCCUGAAGGACCAGCUGGGCAAAGCAUCUUUUAAAUGUUCAGAGGCCAAAAGAUAAACAAAAAAAAAACCUUAAAAUCCUACCUCUUUAAACAGCCUUCAAAUAAGAGAAUCCUCAGUGCAAUCAUUAUUUUGAUUCUUUUGGUACCUGUUUUCCUGGAGUUCCCGAUUUUAUUAUUUUGGGGUGGCUCCAAGCAUUAAGAGGUUUAAUCUUUGAUGGCAUUGUUCUAGUUUUGAAAUUUCUAGUAUGAAAUUUUCAGAGUCUCUUAGAAGACUUGUGUGGGAAGUUUCACUUUGUUUUCAGUGAAGAUCACAAACCUCCUUCUUCCUUGACUCAAGAGGAAAGGUCCCAGUAUACAUAUUUGAAUGGUUAAUGGUUUUCAAGACCUUCAGGGAGCUCCCUGCAUUUUACCUAGAAACAGAAAAGGCCUGCAAAAUCUUAAGUUUCCUGGCCUGCAUUUCCCGGGUAGGGGCAAAUGACUCCAAGCUGGUCUCUAAGCCAAUACUCUUGUAAACCAGAGCCCAGGAAAGACAGCUCGAGUGUAUAAUUCUCUGGAGCUCAAUUCUAUGCAGUUGUGCUGAUAUUUCAUUAAGUCACUGUGUAUUUUUAAGUGUUGAUACAUUAAAAGUCGCUUUAUGGAAGAUGAGUAAAUUUUUUAAAUACUUGGAAAUUUUAUUUCCUUGUUAACUUCUACAGAUCAGGGCAUGCAACCAAAAGCAGCUUAAAUGAAAUAUUUUAAAAUAAAAUAUCAGGAAGCUAUUUUUAGAUUUCUUCUGGCUUAUGUUUCUACUUUAGGACCCUCAUUGUUCUCUUAUUAAAAACAAUUAUUUCCUGUGCAUCUCAUGGACUGCAGGGUAAAUUAUUUGGGCAUAAAUAAUUUAAAUAGUUUUCUUUCAUUUUGACUAUCUCCAGUAAUAACAGUUUUUAUUAUCCAGCAUAUUGGCUUAUUGCACAAAUCUUAAAAUGUACAUUGACUACUUUUUGAGAAGAAAGUGGUAUCAGUACUCAUGAUGAAAAGGUUACUACUGAACAAAUUCACAUUUCAGGAACACCUCUAUCUUUGGUUUAAUUCUUACUCUUAGUUUUUCAGUCUAAAAAUCAUACUGGUAUUAGUAUCAGGUAAGGAAAUUAAAGUUUUUAAAAUGGUUUCAUUCUCUGCAAUAUGCAAAAUUUAGAUUUUACUUUCUGGUACUGUAAAGAACCUGAAGUGAUUUACACUUAAUGGGUGAUUAAUCCAGUAUUCUUUACCCUGAAUGUUUGGAUAUUAAAGUUCCUUUAUGUUUUCUAUAA